rnacentral:lncRNA from 1 species
AAAAUAAAAAAAAGUUAAACUAUAUAAAAAAGAAGAUGUGGUAUGAUUGCCAAUGAGACAACUAUCCACAAAAGACCAAUGACACAGACAUUAACAACUAUAGGUCACCGUACGGCCUUCAACAAUGAGCAAAGCCCAUAUUGCAUAGUCAGCUAUAAAAGGCCCCGAUAAGACAAUGUAAAACAAUUCAAACGAGAAAACUAACGGCCU